ensembl:lncRNA
GGAGGAAGUAUUAUGUUUUGUCAUUUUGAUUUAUUAUUUUAUUUUCACUUCAGAUUGUUGAGUUGGGUCUAUAGUUUUGGGGCUUUUGGGUGUUUUUGUAUUCUUAUACUGAAGUCUUCAGUGGGUGAGAAGCUGACUGCAGGCUGACAGGAAAUGUGUCUGCAAGCCAUGCUUUUGCAGAAGUGAAACUGUUCAGAGAGCAGAUGCACACUCUGUGCACCCACAGACAGACGAGACAUACACACACACACUUAGUUAGAGGGAUCACUGAUAGGGGAAAGUUCAAAUUGUUUUGCUUGGGGUUGCUUUUAGACUAUAUUAGGAGGAGCAAACAUAUUGGCAGAUCUGAGAAGGAAAACCUGUGUUAUGAAAAUGAUUUUAAUCUUUUAUACAUGAUUGCAUUUGAGCUUAUUAAAGAGCUGUGGCUCCUGGUCAAGUGAAGGUCAGAAACUCUUGGCGGGCGUUAUGAUCUGCCAAUACACGGUGAGGAGGACAGGAGCUCUGAAAGGAAUUGCAACACACCUGCUUACAUGACAUAUGCCUGGAGUUAUAUCCUUAUAUCCUUAUAUUCUUUAGAGCUAAGAGUUAAGUUUGUAUCAUUUAUCACUUAUAUCCUUUUGAGUAAGUCUUAAGUUUCAUUUAUGUUCAGUUUGAUUAAGUUUGUAUCAUUUAUCACUUAUAUCCUUUUGAGUAAGUCUUAAGUUUCAUUUAUGUUCAGUUUGAGUAAGUUUCCUUCAUGGUUUGAGUAUCAUCAUUUGAGUGUGACAUUUAGAAGUCACACAUAGUUCAGCUGUGCACGAGCACGGGCCUUAUGUCUGGCUAAGACGAGAGGUGUGAGGUGAUCUGGGGUGCAGACGAGGUCAUGACACAUACAUAGCAUACACUGCAGACACACACAUACACACCAUAAUAGAUCUAUUUUGGUAAGUAAGAAGUGAAGAUGGGUUUUUGCUGCAAUUGCAGAAUUGUGCCGAAGUACUUAGAGGAAGUGCACCAGAUCUCCCAGAGGGAAGCGAUAGCGAAGACGAGCUGAGGGGAAGCACCGACCCGAAGACAAUGUUCUUUAAAACUAUGUUAAAGGUUGUUGACAGAACAUUUGUGGUUUUGAGUGACGUAUGCUGUAUAAAUCUGCCUAACAACAGAAGAGGGGGUGGUACAAUGCUCACCUCUAUAAAACCUUUGUCUAAUUAUUGUAAGUUCAGUUCGACGCUGAAUCUGUACAGCGUUCGGACUCCGCACGUGUGUAUUCAUUAAAAUGCC